GAUUCGUGUUGGAUGGUCCUGUGCCAGUGCUGAAGCACCUGGGUGCUUCAGGGUUUGGUUCAGGUGAGCAGAGCAGAGCCAGAGCACAGGCUUCAGAAGAGGAGCAUCCAGGGAGGAAAAUGCUAUUAGCGGGAGGAUCUCUGCCUGGGGUUUUGCAGACUUUGAGCUGAUCAACUCUCCAAGGGGGAAUGUCAGUGCUUCACUUACCUAACAUCCCAAGAAACCUCUAAAAACAGGGAAAAUGAGAGAGAAAGAGAAGAAACCAAAGCUUUUGGCUGGCACCUACUCCCUCUGCUUUGGACCUUGUAAAAUGACUGAAGGUCCUGGCACAUCUAGGCACUUAUGUAUCGCAUAAAGCUGAGUGCAUUUCAUUUAUGUCACACUUUUGAAUACACUUGCAUGCACAAUGACCUGUGCUGUCUGCCAGGAGAGGAAAUGGAAUAAAAGUAGAGCUGGCCAGAAUGCCAUAAGGUCUGUUCCAAGACCUAGCAAAGUCUGGCUGCAUUUUCAGGUUAUUUAAUCUCCCCGCUGUUUUAUAUUAAAGGGAUAAUGGUCACAGACCAGAACUACUGACACUUGUCAGGUAAUGAUCAACUGGAGUGUCUUGUCAGGCCUGGCUGUUAACCAAAAUAUAGCUUCCAGGAGUAGAGGCUCCCAAAUGUCUCACCUGCUCCUUCUGCAGGGCUCCAGUACGCUCCAGCCAUGCCUUUGAUAGAGCUACUGCCAACUGUCAGAGGAGAGUUGAGGACAUUGCAGGCUGCUCUUGAAAAAUGCACGUUACUGGUGCACAAACAUGGGAAAACCUUUGUGCACCUUUUGUGCUGAUAUGGAGAAGCCAUGGCUCCUCUGAAGGGCUGGGGUGAUGUGACAUACACUUGACCCCUUGUGUACUUUGGUUUAGGCUAACUAAGGAGCAACAGGCCUCAUACCACAUAGAACCUAUGAGCUGGAAAGCUCCUGGCUCACGUACAAGGGAGUGAAGAUGUAAAAUGAAGACUUGUAUAUACUAUUGACUUGCAGCACUUGUCUAAUUCACUCUACAAAUAUUACCAUUUAGACGGGCGCUGAUCCUUAAGCUCUUGGUCAGCUAUUUAUCCAUCUCCAGGCAGAGCUCUGCACUCCAGCUAGUCAUUGACAUAGAGGGUGACACCCCCUCCUUGUCUCCCCAUCCUGUCUUUCCUGAAGAGCCUGUAUCCUUCCAUUCCAACACUGCAGCUAUAGGAGGCACCCCACGACGUCUCUGUAAUGCCAAUGAGGUCAUAACCUUUCAGGCAUGCACAGUCCUCUAACUCCUCUUACUUAUUCUCCAUGCUAUGUGCAUGUGGCAUAGAGUCAUUACAGUUGGGCCCCUAAUGAAGCUGGCUCAUUGGCUGGAAGUCCUUUGGGCCUCUCUCUCUGGCACUGGUAUUAGGCUGGUAGGAAUGGGAUGGAUUGAGGUUCCCCUCCUCCAGCAACUUUAGUUUAAAGCCUUCACCAGCUUGGCAAGCCUGUGACUGAAGAUGCUCUUCCCCUUCUCUGGCAUAUGGACCCCAUCAGCUCCCAGUAGACCAAGCUUCUCAAAGUGAGUCCCAUGGUCUAAGUAUCUGAACCCCUGCCUGUGACACCAGUCUUAUAACCAUUCAUUGAUUCUACUGGCCUUUCAAAUCCAAUCUCUUCCCUUAGACCAGGAGGAUCGAUGAGUCCAGCAUGAUCAGGCCAGCGUGUCUUCUUUCCACAGUGCCACUGGACUAAACCAUGCUUCUUUCAUUAAACAAGCAGAUUUAUAGGUUUUCAAGGGCUUGAAGUCUUACAGGCUUUGGCCAGCAUUUGUUUCAGACACUGAAGAGCGCUUCUUUGCCUAGCAAAGCCAUGAAUGCCUGUUUUCCCACUGAUUUAAGGCUUCCUAGAGCUCUUCAACUGAUAGUCUCUUUGAUGUCUAAUCAGCCCUGCAGGUUGUCUUUUUAGUCAUGAAAAUCCUUCAUAAUGUUCCCCCAUAAACAGUACAAUCACAGUCCAGUCACAUUCUCAAUAUUUCAGUAUAUCUCUGGAGAGGUUUCUGGAGCAAAACCAGUUUCCAUCAGCUAAUUCAGGUAGUUAAGUAAUCAUCGGAGUGUUUUGGAUGUGCUUGAUAAAGAAGGUCUGAAGUGGUAAGAUCCCACUGAUCCUGCUGUCUUCAACUGUCCAUCCCUAUCUGAAACAGUAAAAGACAAAAUGGAAUAAUGCAAAAAGCUUUUUUUGUUAAUAUCAAGUGAGCUGCCCACAACCAGCUAGGGAGAUUUUCAAGUUAUGAUCAGAGGUGGCAUUCUGGAAAUCUCUUUCUCCUCCCUGAGGUGGUUUCUUUAGGAAGAAAGCAGUCAGCACUAGCAGCAUUAGAGAGAUCAGCUUUAACCUCUGGGAGUAGAGAUGAAAGGGGAGCAUUUAUUGUUUGCAAGACACCGUUUCUGGUUUUAUGCAGAAUCAGCCAAGUAGCUCUGCACCAGUUCACAUACUUCAAUGUCUGCAAGAUUUUCUUUCUAUGCAAAAGGGUUGCACAGUUCCUAUUUUCAAAGAAGAUAUAUAAAGUUUCAGGAAAAGCAGCAGACAGCAUCAAACACCUUAGCACAGGAUCUGAUGUGGGUCUUAUUUUCAUGCUUUUGUUGUUUCAGAAGAGAAAAGAUACUGCAGAUCAUACAUACAUACUGAUCAGAUGAAGCAUCAGCUGUAAGAUAAACAGGCAGUUCUCCUAUGGAGCAUCACUCCAGAAUGAGGCACUGGGUGUCCUGGUACAGGAAACACAGGGAGAUGGCUCAGUACCCUGCAGUAUCUUGUCUGGAGACUCAAGGUGAACAAAAGAGUUAAGAACUCAAGGCUGCUAUUGCAGGCAGUAAUUGGGGUAAGCAGUUGGCAAGGCACAGAAAAUUCUUUUAGCUCACACCUUUCAGCUGUCAUCAGAACAAAAUUGUAAAUCAAUAUUAUUGGUCCCCAGAGAGGUUCAGUGGAGCUAAAUUAACAUAACUUCAUAAAUGACAGACUUUCCCAUUCAUCUCAGUCCCUAGCAAGAAACUAUCCUUUGCUGCUUUACUGCAGCAGUCCCCAGGAGCAGUGGCAGUGUUUCAGAUACUCCCGCAUAACAUGUCACACAACAUAGCACUUCCCAGCUAACUCCAAAACUUUUGUUCAAAGUCAAAACAAUAUUCAUCUCUUUAUGUUUAUAAAAAGGGGAAAAUAUGCAUUAAUAUAACUCUCUCUGUUGUAGAGAGAGUUCCUUAUGACACCACCUUCAAGAGAUUUCUUCAGCAAUGGAGAUGCCUGUUUGCAGAGCUGAAGGUGACAGGGGACAAGAGGUGAUUGCCAUUAAACACCUUGCCAUCAAUAAUGGGAAUAUUUCUUUCAGGACUUUUGUGCAGUAUGAUGUAUAUUAUGUCUGCUGCUGCAGCGGAAUAUGUUGUCUUUCUUGCUUAAAUUUUCCCACCUGGGAAAAGAAGUGAAGUACUAUCCAACCAGAACCCCACUGCUUCAGGAGAAGGUUCAUUCCCUUCGAGCAAGCAAUAAUGGAAAGCAGACAGUAAUUUACAAAUGGAAAUAGCAAACACUUUUUUUAUCCUGACAUCCAGAGGACGGGCUCUUUUUCUCUUGGUGUACAAAAGCAGUGGAUCAGAAACAUGAGCUGUUUCAAAAGCCGCAUGGGGAAACUGAAACUGUGGAUGUGGGAUGCUGCCAGUACCCAUGCUGCAACACUGUCAGGAAGUCUUUCCAGUCAGUGUCAAGGUGACAAGAAGGAAGAACUUGGACUAUUUGUGUUAUAGGGGUAAACAGGAAGAACUCCAGCACCUUGCCAUCCACGCAUCUCUUCCAGGUUUUGGAGUGUGGUCUGCCAUCCUGAACUAUCCUCUGAGCAGUCCUUCUGGGGCAUGCUGUAUUCAGUGUACCCUGGAGUUGAACAGAAUGAUUUUUAUCCUCUAUGGUCCUGCAGAGUGACCCCAUGGAGCUGUCAGGAGACAGCCUGAAAUCCCACUGGCCCUUCCUUAGGCACUGAGAACCAGCUAUUUCCUGGUGGAUCACGAUUGAGGGAUAGCAAAGGGGCGUCUAAACAGAAAGCAUUGUAAGCAAAGCAAAUCUCACAGACUCCUUUAUCAGUGUCACUUGAGGGGAUGCUCUCUCUCCUGAGUUAGAAGGCCCAUUGAUUUCUGACUGCCUGCUGUUUGGAGGAAGCUUUCCUUGAGUCAUGGAGUCUUACAGCCUAAAAAGACUUUCCAAUCACCUGCUCUGACUCUCCACAUGUUCCUUUGGGACCCUGGGACACUUGGCUGGAAGGAAAACUCCCAGAAGUGGAUCCAAUGGCACAAGGGAUCCCACCUUCAAUGGAAGCUGCAGCUGGUAAACAUUGGCUCUAGCUGUGUGCCUAUUGGACCAAUAUCGCUCCAGCACCUGCUGUUUCUUUUAUUCUGUGCAGCUGAAAAUUAGCUGUCAGGUAACUGGUGACCCACUGGCCAUGGUAGAAAAUGACUCAUUAUUAAAUUACUCUUAUUAAAUGAUAAAA